UGAUGCUUACGGAGGAGAGAGCCAGAGCUAUUAACUUUUUGGCGAAGGCAGAUACGUGGAAGAUAAGGUUUCUGUUGAAGAAACCUUCAAUGUCGUAUGUCGAAAAUAUUUAUUUAAUGACAUUUACAGCAGAAGUAUGGAUAGCAACAGUUAGCAUUUUGUUCGUGUUCUGUUUAGCGAUAUACUUUCUAAUGAAUUGGGAGAAGAAAGAGUUGCAAAAUGAAAAUCAAAAUAUAUCCAAAAAAUAUACUGUAAGUGAUGCUAGUUUGCUAUCGUUUGAGGCUUUGUGUCAACAAGGUUCUGAGCUAAAAUCAAAGACUUACGCUGGAAAAAUCUUAUUGUUUUUGUUAUUCGCAGCACUCAUGUUCCUGUAUUCUGCUUAUUCAGGCUACAUACUAGUUUUGCUGCAAUCAACCACACCUAUAAAGUCUAUUCGUCAUCUGGUUGACAGUAGACUGGAAGUUGGUGGUAUUAACGUCAGUUACCAAUUUCCUCAUUACAACCUGACCAAAGAUCCCGAUCUAAUAGAACUUUAUAGAAAGAAAAUACAUCCAAAUAGAUUCUAUUCUCUCGAGGUUGGACUACAAAAAGUACGAAAAGGAAAUUUCGCGUUUCAGACUGACAUUGGCCCUAGCUACAAUUACAUCAUCAAAACCUUCAAAAAUUAUGAUAUAUGCACAUUGCAAGAACUAUCGUCUUUUAUGAACGUAAGUUUUUAUUUACGUAUAAAGAGAGAAAAAUCUAGACAAUAUACUUUGAGACAAACUUAACCUGUUACUAUGUUUUAGAGUCCGCAGUAUUAUGCAACACCCAAAGUUUCGAAUUUUAAAAAAUUCCUUAAAAUUGGGAUUUUAGUCGCUUCUGAAGCAGGACUAGCACAUAGGGUUAAACAUAGGUUAGCAAGUAAACCACAAUGUUAUAGUGCAGGAGCUAACUUUCAGUCUGUGAGAAUCCACGAUUGUUACACGAUAUUCGUACUGUUUUUCAUCGGUAGCUUUGCCGCGGUUACUGUUUUUUUAGCUGAAAUAGUUCUCAAUAAAUAUUCACGUUAUGUGUUAAAAUAGGCACAUUUUAUAUGCACAGCACAAUAAUAUGUAUUGUUCAAUGGCAACAUGCUUUCUUAAGAGUAUAUUGGUUUUGCUGCUAUGAUAACGUCAUUUAUUUGAGUUUUUAGUUGCAUAAGCUACGUACAUACGAAAUAGAAGGAAGAAGAAAUGGAAAAGUUCUUGAACGAAUAGGAAUAGAUGACAAAUAUUUAAGAAUUAUGCAGAAUCUAUACUAACACCAGUAAGCAAUGUUAGAAUUGGCCUAAUAGAUACUUAUGAAUGAAUUGGAAAUUUUCUAUGAAUUAGACAGGGGUGUAUCUUGUGACCACUGCUUUUUAAUCUGUAUUCCAAGCAUAGUUUUGAGAAAAGAGACACUUACCAGGGUUGUGGUAGGUAUCACAGUAUCACGGUAAAUGGUAAGAAUUACAACAAAUGGCACAUAACAGACAAGAAUAAAGAAAAUUUAAAAAAAGUCGGAGACCUAGUGAAACAAAGAGGAAAUAUUAUGACGUAUGUAUGUUACUACUUUUUAAUACGUUACUUAUUGAACCGUAGUGAGCACAACAUUUGGUACAACAAGUUAUCCACCUAAUACUCUCCCCCCUUUUAAGAGCUGUUCUUUCUUUAUCUCU